UCCUGUUAGCAGCUGGAGAGGCAGGAGUUCCCUCAGCUAGGAUAUAGGGAGAACAUUGAUUAGAAAAAGGAGAGUUUGAAGAAAAAAUAGGAUCCCCCUGGGCCAAGCAACAUUCUGAUAAUUUUAUAACCUGACUAGACACUACAGUUAGCAGACGGCAGAUGGCUGAUUGGAGUCUCAGCAAUUUCCUAAACCUUAAGGACAAAACAAUACGAGGGAAAUAGAUUUGAUAUGAUCAGAAAUCACUUCUGGGACCUAAGCAGAUCCUCCGUGGCGGCAUUGUCAUAUUUCCUUACCCAUCCGCAGAUGUCACCAGCCUCCACUACACUGUAAUACCAUUAAAGUCAAUGACAGCUGAAUCCAAGAGCAGAAGUUGGCCUUUAAGAUUUGCUUCCUUGUAACAUAUGGUACUGUAGUGUAUACCAAGAAAGUUAACCAAGAGGAAGAAUGGUAUUUACAGUAUGUUGAAUUUUAUCACUCACUGUAGCUUUGUAAAGCCUGGGGGCCAAGUUCUGAAGUCCUUACUCAUGUUUUACUGUCUUUGAGGCAAAACUCCUGUUGCUGAGGAAGCAAUGAGUAAAAUGUGAGUAAAGAAUUUAAGAUCUGGCCCUGUGCCUUCAACAAAUUAAGAUAGGUUGAUGGUGACUCACUUCCUUAAUGAGUUAUAUCUGCAGGGCUGUAGAGGUUCGACUAGAUAUAACUGAGGUAUUCAUUAGCUGGAUUUUUUAUUAUUAUUUUUGGUAUCAAUGUUAGAGAAGUCACAAAGAGAUCAGUAGGCUGUUAGAUAUUUUAAAAAACCUCUAUGUAUUGAAAAGCAGCAGUGAGUUUUGAUAGAGUGAAAUUGAGCUGAGAAUAGGGUGGGUUCUGGAGGUUGCUGCAGAAUUCUGUGCAUCCUUACUCUUUUAAAAUGACAGGGUUUGCAGAGUCACUAGUGUAGAAAUUAAUUUAUGGUGGUUAGCUGAACUCCAAAGUAAAGUAAACAGUGAUUCAGAAUCAGGUCUGUCCACCCUUAUGCUGAUAUACCCUUUGCUUUACACACUGCCUUAUUGAUUCUAGAUAGUCACAAAGUAAUAGUCUCAAUGAAGAAGAGGGAAAAUCUGGCUGACAAGCCUCCUGGUCUCUCUGUCUCUGUAUGAGUGAAAGAGUACUACAAGCAUGCUUGUGUCCAUACAUCGUUUUGUCUCUAAUGCAAUUUUGCAGCAAUAGGAUUAGAACAGAUUGCUAGCAUUAUGGCAGCAAAGAUAUUGUUGGGAGUAACUUGGCAACCCUUUAGGUGUUGUGACGCUGGCUCUUUGCUCAAGGGCAAGAACAAGAGAGUGAAUGUUGGAUACAAAAUGGUAAGAGAAAUAAUGUCAGGAAAGUUCAGAAGAUGAAAGCAGCAGCAGUAAAUAAGUCUGAAAUUAUUUUAGGUUUACAUACUUUAAGUCCUCAGUGACUGAAAACACAGCCAAGAAUUGCUUCAGCAAUAUUCCUUCAUAAAUCUGCAUAAUAAUCUCUCAGAGGGGCUUUGGUGAAAUUACAAGUAUUCAUUUACUAAAUUGGGUUCAGUGUCUGUAACAUAUACGCCAUAUGAAUAUUCAGUUCUUUGAAUUCUUCCAAACUACAAUGAAGUUACCACAAUCUGAAAGUAACUCAAAAAGUGAACUACUGAAAUUGGAUCAUAGUUUUCUUUAAUCCAUUGAAAGAAUGUUUUAAAGCUAUGCCCCCCUACUGUAAUUCAACCACAAGUAAUUCCUCCAAAAUGUGACAUGUUUAAGAGAUGUGUUUGCUUUUGGCAUAAUAUAGUUAACUUGACAGUACAGGAUACCCCAAAUGAUAUGUGGUGUUCAUGAAUAGUUUUUCAAAUAAUGUAAUGAUAUCUGCCAAGCAGAUACAGGAAGACUGUUUAAUUGGUAUGCAGAAGAACCAUAAAAGGAACAUUUCAAAAGAAGAAACAACUCUCUUAGAAAACAAUGACCUGUGUUAGCUGAGUGAAAUGCUUUCCAGAAUAUGAGGACUCAUAUUUGGAGUUGCCAAAUGCUAGAAGUUUGGGACUUUGAUGUUUUGAGGAGGAUGAGAUUUUACAAAAGUGCUUAAAGGAUGAUGGGCCCAUAGAAAGUCCAUGGGAUCCUAAGAGACAUAAGUGUCCUUUUUCCAGUUCAGUUAUUUUUAUUUUUACCAACGUAAGGAAGAUUGAAGUAACAUAAUUCUUGUGUGAAAUAAGAGAGUUUACAUAUCAGAAAACUGCAUCAAAGUAACAAAGAUGUUUAUUAAUCCAAUUUAGAUAUUUCACUAUCAAUUUGUAUGUAGACAAGCCUUUUGACUCUGUUAGACUACUUCUAUUCACUCAAGAUACGUCU